AACGCACCUUGCGCCCCUUGGUAUUCCGAGGGGCAUGCCUGUUUGAGUGUCAUUAAAUUCUCAACUUUGAAAGGCUUUGUCUUUUUGAAGCUUUGGAUGUGAAGGCUUGCUGGUGUUUUUAAAUGUUCAGCUCCUUUGAAAUGCAUUAGUGGACCCAUUUGUGUUCAGCCUUAGUGUGAUAAUUAUCUACGCUAUGGUCUUUUUGAAUGCUUGCUCAUUAGAACUUCGAAGUGUUGUUAACAUUCUCGGUGUGGAGAGUUGCAUGAACUUGCUCUUUCUGUCUAUUGAGUCGGGGACUGUCUGCUUCUAACUGUCUGCACUUGUAGACAAUUUUUCUUUGAGCCCUUUGACCUCAAAUCAGGUAGGACUACCCGCUGAACUUAA
rnacentral:misc_RNA from 1 species